UACCUGGUUGAUCCUGCCAGUAGUCAUAUGCUUGUCUCAAAGAUUAAGCCAUGCAAGUCUAAGUACGAGCUCUCGUACAGUGAAACUGCGAAUGGCUCAUUAAAUCAGUUAUGGUUCAUUUGAUCGUACAGUUUACUUGGAUAACUGUGGUAAUUCUAGAGCUAAUACAUGCGAGAAGCGCCGACCUCGCGGGAGGCGUGCAUUUAUCAGACCAAAAACCGGCCGCGUCUUCGGGCGCGUUCGCCUUGGUGACUCUGGAUAACUUUGCGGAUCGCACGGUCUAGCACCGGCGACGGAUCAUUCAAGUGUCUGCCCAAUCAACUUUCGUCGGUACGGUAUUUGCCUACCGAGGUUCUUACGGGUGACGGGGAAUCAGGGUUCGAUUCCGGAGAGGGAGCCUGAGAAACGGCUACCACAUCCAAGGAAGGCAGCAGGCGCGCAAAUUACCCAUUCCCGACGCGGGGAGGUAGUGACGAAAAAUAACAAUGCAGGACUCGUUCGAGGCCCUGUAAUUGGAAUGAGUACACUUUAAAAGCUUUAACGAGUAUCCAUUGGAGGGCAAGUCUGGUGCCAGCAGCCGCGGUAAUUCCAGCUCCAAAAGUAUAUAUUUAAGUUGUUGCGGUUAAAAAGCUCGUAGUUGGAUUUUGGGCGCAGGCGGCCGGUCCGUCGCAAGGCGUGUACUGGACGUCCUGGCCUUCCCUCCGGUUCUCCGCCGGUGCUCUUGACUGAGUGUCGGCGGCGGCCGGAACGUUUACUUUGAAAAAAUUAGAGUGUUCAAAGCAGGCUCUCGAGCCUGGAUAAUGGUGCAUGGAAUAAUGGAAUAGGACCUCGGUUCUAUUUUUGUUGGUUUUCGGAGCGCGAGGUAAUGAUUAAGAGGGACAGACGGGGGCAUUCGUACUGUGCCGUUAGAGGUGAAAUUCUUGGAUCGGCGCAAGACGAACGACUGCGAA
rnacentral:ncRNA from 1 species